ACGGAGUUAGCCGGUGCUUAUUCAUAUGGUACCGUCAUUAUCUUCCCAUAUAAAAGGAGUUUACACACCGAAAUGCGUCAUCCUCCACGCGGCGUUGCUGCAUCAGAGUUUCCUCCAUUGUGCAAUAUUCCCC
rnacentral:rRNA from 1 species